UAAUUAACUCAGAAAAAUAAAGGUUAUCUAGCAGGUAUUUGUGGGAAAAAUUUCACCACUGCUUCGCUUGCGAUCGUUUCGAGUUCAGAAAUUGCAUAGUAUCCUUUCAACAAUGUAUUUGACGAGUAAGAUUUUGUUGUGCUUCUUGUUCUUUAACACCGAUGGUUUAUUUUUUUCCAAAGAAACUUUAGUUUUCGCUUUUGAAAACCCAUCAACGCAUGGUCUUGCUAUUCGCACUGCUAUAAAAACAGCAAUCAAAGUUUCAUCUCAUUUCCUCGGAUCAUGGAGACCAAUGACUCUCUUCACACCAUUGGACGAAACUAGUUUGGUUAAUCUAACGUCUCAGUCACUUGAUAUGCGAAUUCUUACUUCUAAAACUGUGGCAACCGUGACUGGAGGUGUUUUUGGCCAAGAUAAUUACCAAUUUCAUAAGUAUUCGUGCUAUUGGAAUACUGGCUCAAGUAUGGCUUGAGGAUUGCUGAAUGCGACGGAAAAAUUAUCUUCUUUUUUCAAUUUUUGGCGAAUUUUUAAAAAUUUAAAUUUUUGCCAUAAAUGAGAAAAAUUUUAAAUUUUACCAAACUGACUUGGAAAGCUGAAAUUUGAUGUUUAUUUUACUUUUGGGCUCUCGAUUAGAUAUGUGAUCUUUUCGAACCGUUCUGGAGACUCCAGCAGAUUUUAAUUUUUUUCCUUCCUCAAUUCAUUUUUUUUGGUUUUGUUUUUUGUAUAUUUGUAUAGAACCAGUAUGGAGUGUCGAGUAUAUUUCUUCAACUUGAAAUACAAUACAUAAGUACAAAAAGGCUUUAGAUUACGAUGACGGAAUUAUGAUCAUGAAUUCUCCAGUUGCAACUGAUGGUCAUUUUCCUAACCCGUUGUUUUAUGGACUUUCUGAACUAUUUGGAAAAAAACUGAAAUGACCCGGAGACUUCUCCGAGGUUCAUAGCGCUUUCACCUACCGAUGGUACGUGAAUUUCCCCCUUGAUAGUAUUUAUGAGAGUUAUACCGCUGAUUUCUACGAUGAAGAAUUUGGAAAAAAAUUUUGUGCUGUUGUGAUUAACUUGCCUGUGAAUCAGCAUUUGAAUUACAUUUCAAGAGAACAGUUCCUACAAACGUUUGGAAAACUUGUAGGAAUUUCGCAGAAAGCUGUGACUAAUGGUUUCCUUCAAAAUGCAGGUGUUGCUAAGACGCCAGUGGAAAGGCACAAAGGAAUUAGCGUUUGUAAUCUCCACGCAUGAUUAUACCUUAAUGUGAUUUGAAAUAUGUGAAUUAUGAAUAUUAAUGAUUAAAAUAAAUGUUCUCGUUGUUUA